UAAUGAACACUUGCAACGUAAUGAUACUAUAGAGUAUCAACGCAUAGCAAUCUUAUUGUAUUUACCAGUAUACUUCGAUAGGUGGCGUAUUUGCUCGUCGAUUCAUCAAUAGUCUGAUACGGUCGAUCUAUACAUUUUAAACCUAUUAUAACGAACAACUUUUAAUUAAAAUUAAGCCAGUAUCGAAAGUAAUUAGUAAGAGUCCAAUGUUCACCGCUGAUCACAGCUCAAUGUGUCUAUGAUUUACCAAUUGCUGUUUUUCGGCAAAUGCUAAAUCCACGUUCAUGAGAACUCCAUUUUCUCCCUCGCCGAGCAAUUCGAAGGCGGUAAAUUCGCGCGAACUAAACACUUAUGGCGUCGUGCACCAGAUGGCGCAACGGGCGCACGCAUACACAUCCAAAUACAGAGUAGCCCGGUAAAAAGGAUCAUACGUUCUCCUGACGUUUUCAGACUGUGAGAUCCAAGAAAGAAUGUACAAACUGGGAUGGAGCGCACUGUACAACGAUAUCUUUGAUUAAAGAAGUCUUUUAACGUGAAUGUUUAAUAAGACUGGACGCCUACACACGCAGCAUAUAAAUACAGCAACUGCGCCUGUACAUAAACAGAAGACAGCGAGUAGAAAAGUGGUUGAUCAUCAGGGACUAACUAUAGCUUCAUCAGUUAUACAUCGAACAAUUUAGAAGUCACUGGACAGUCUAAUUGUGCGUGAGAACACGUUCAAAAAAAGAAAGAAAAGGAAACGUUCACCAAAUCGAAGAACUAAUUAGGAAUUAUAUCACGAUCAGUAUGAAAUUUUUAGAGUUGGCGC